AGGCCGGACCCACACAGCACAAUUCUCUCCUUUCUUUCUAUUAUUAGCUCUACUUUUCCAAAUCCAGUGGAGAGACUUCCGCAAUGGGAUGUGUCAGGAGAGACCAGAACAUGGUCCUUCCAGGGAGAGGCAGAGCAGCCAGGGUUUGUUGUUAGGGACUGGUAUUUCCAUCCCAAGCUCUAAGUCCAUCUGUGGGGGAAGCACAGGAGGCAUCAAGGCAAAACCAAACCCCUGGACUCAGUGAAGAGGACCAGUCAGGACAUGGGAAAGGUCUCUGUGGGAGGGUACUCAUAAGCCCCUUCCUGGGGCAGGUGGCUGGGGGCCCAGCCUCAUCUGUGUGGGGUAAUCUGGGGGCUGUGCUGAGCCUCUGAGGGCCUCCCACCUGGGCCUGGAGUCUCCUCUGAUCUCCUGAGAAGCAGAAUCCUACCUGACAGCUCAGGUGUGCCCGAGAGCCUGAGCCUGAUUGUUCGUCCAGUAGAGGAGCACCUCUACCAUUACUUAUAUUAUUUUAUAUAUAUGUGUAUAUAUAUAUAUAUAUAAUUUCCUCAUGUAGUAAAUCUCUCUUUGUGGUGGUUUUAUUGUUUGUUUGUUUUUUGAGAUUCAGUCUCACUCUUGUCGCCCUGGCUGGAGUGCAAUGGCGAUCUCGGCUCACUGCAGCCUCUGCUUCCCAGGUUCAAGCAGUUCUCCUGCCUCAGCCUCCGGAGUAGCUGAGAUCACAGGCACGUUUGUUAUUUUUAGUAGAGACAGGGAUUCACUAUGCUGGUGAGGCUGGUCUCAAACUUCUGAUCUCAGGUGAUCCACCCUUCUUGGCUUCCCCAAACGCUCGGAUUACAGGGUCAUCUUCUGUUCCAGGAUCAUCUUCUGUCCCAGUGUCAACUUAUCUCCCAGUGUCAAGGUCAGCGGAGGGGAAGGCCCAAAGGCAGGAAGAAAAACUACAGUCUGAAAGCUUCUAGAGACAGCCUGACAGGCCUGGAGGAGACUCUGGACUUGCUUUCACAACUGCAGCGAGAGAAGCAUAUCAGAGAUCAACAGUCCUUGAAAAGUGUCCAGCGCAACAAUGAGCAACGGGGCCAGGAUAGCCCCAACUCUUGCUCCCCCAGAAGGCUGUCUCCCCAGUCAGCGCCCCUCAGGGCAGACUGAAGACACAACAUUUAAUGUUCCAAAAUAAAUAUCUCCUUUUUUUUCCCCCCAUAAAA